AUUUUUCGGNUGCCCGCUGGCGGCGUUCUUAACACAUGCCAAGUCGAACGAACCUUCGGGUUAGUGGCGGACGGGUGAGUAACGCGUGAGCAAUCUGCCCUCAGGAGGGGGAUAACGGUUGGAAACGACCGCUAAUACCCCAUAUGCCUACUGGUGAAAUGAAUUUCGCCUGAGGAUGAGCUCGCGUCUGAUUAGCUAGUUGGUGAGGUAAUAGCUCACCAAGGCUUCGAUCAGCUAGCUGGUCUGGGAGGAUGAUCAGCCACACUGGGACUGAGACACGGCCCAGACUCCUACGGGAGGCAGCAGUGGGGAAUUUUCCGCAAUGGGCGAAAGCCUGACGGAGCAACGCCGCGUGAGGGACGAAGGCCUCUGGGCUGUAAACCUCUUUUCUCAAGGAAGAAGAUAUGACGGUACUUGAGGAAUAAGCCACGGCUAAUUCCGUGCCAGCAGCCGCGGUAAUACGGGAGUGGCAAGCGUUAUCCGGAAUUAUUGGGCGUAAAGCGUCCUCCGGCGGCUUUUUCAAGUCUCCU
rnacentral:rRNA from 1 species